CUCCGGAUCGCGGUCGCCUCGCGCCGUGCCCUGUCCGGGCCGGCCACGUCCGAUCCCAAGGCCCGCAGCGAGGCAGCGCGAAGAGUCCACACGGCAAGAGCUCUGGACGGCCUCUGAGAGCUGACACUGGCUCUUGGCUCACAGGCCGCAAGAAAAUGGAGGACCUCAGCCCUCCAGUCACAAGAAAGACCAUAAAUUUCGCCACCACCUGAAUGAACUGGGAAGACAGUCCUGAGCUCCCGGCCUGUGAGGCUAUCUGAGGAGAAGCAAGAUUUACGAGCUGUCCCACCAUGAGCUGCAUAAUCUCUAAAGGAAAUUUCUUGUCAUCUACCCACAUCAGUACUUACAUUGGAAGAGCAACAGCAUUGGUGUCUUCCACCUGAACACCCUGAAAACAGAUCAUUGUUGACAAGCGUGGUCACCGGUGUGACAGCCCUCGCCCAGCUACAUUGUGGAUUUGCCCAGAUGGCCACUGCUUACAGGCCAAGUGGACAGUGCUGUGUACGGGGGUCAGCAAACUGAAAGGGCUUUGCGAGCCAUACAGUUUCUGUUGCACUCAGCUCUGCUGUUGUGCUGUGAAAGAUAAAUGAUGCAGAAACACAUGAGCGUGACCAGAGUUGGUCCACAGGUUACAGUCGGUUGCCCCAUCUGUGGCCACACCACGUGAUUUGCAGAGCCCCGUGCAAAAGACCCACCCCACUGAACUAGAGAAUCACUGUGAAAGGCAGUCCCCUGUGUUCGGGCAUUAUAUCUACAAAGGACUGAUAAAUUACAACAUGCGAAUCCGUUAUCCACUGUCAACAUGUUUGCACAGAUUCAAUUACCCCUGAAGUACAGCCUGGAGAUCAUGGGAUGACAUUUCCACAAAGAAAGUGCCCCCUAACUUGGACCACUUGUUUCAUAGACAUAUGCCCCUGGUCACCAGGGACUCCUGAGCACAAAUAUGGGCUGUUUGAUGAG